GAUGAACGCUGGCGGCGUGCCUAAUACAUGCAAGUCGAGCGAACAGAUAAGGAGCUUGCUCCUUUGACGUUAGCGGCGGACGGGUGAGUAACACGUGGGUAACCUACCUAUAAGACUGGAAUAACUCCGGGAAACCGGGGCUAAUGCCGGAUAACAUUUAGAACCGCAUGGUUCUAAAGUGAAAGAUGGUUUUGCUAUCACUUAUAGAUGGACCCGCGCCGUAUUAGCUAGUUGGUAAGGUAACGGCUUACCAAGGCAACGAUACGUAGCCGACCUGAGAGAGUGAUCGGCCACACGGGAACGUGGACACGGACCAGACGACUACGAGAGGCAGCAGUAGGGAAUCUUCCGCAGUGGGCGAAAGCCUGACGGAGCAACGCCGCGUGAGUGAUGAAGGUCUUCGGAUCGUAAAACUCUGUUAUUAGGGAAGAACAAAUGUGUAAGUAAAUGUGCACGUCUUGACGGUACCUAAUCAGAAAGCCACGGCUAACUACGUG
rnacentral:rRNA from 1 species